GGAUCCAGACUUUGAUCCUGGCUCAGGAUGAACGCUAGCUACAGGCUUAACACAUGCAAGUCGAGGGGCAGCAUGAACUUAGCUUGCUAAGUUUGAUGGCGACCGGCGCACGGGUGAGUAACACGUAUCCAACCUUCCGUUUACUCAGGGAUAGCCUUUCGAAAGAAAGAUUAAUGCCUGAUAGUAUGGUGAGAUUGCAUGAUAACACCAUUAAAGAUUUAUUGGUAAACGAUGGGGAUGCGUUCCAUUAGGUAGUAGGCGGGGUAACGGCCCACCUAGCCUGCGAUGGAUAGGGGUUCUGAGAGGAAGGUCCCCCACAUUGGAACUGAGACACGGUCCAAACUCCUACGGGAGGCAGCAGUGAGGAAUAUUGGUCAAUGGGCGAGAGCCUGAACCAGCCAAGUAGCGUGAAGGAUGAAGGUCCUACGGAUUGUAAACUUCUUUUAUACGGGAAUAAAGUAUCCUACGUGUAGGAUUUUGUAUGUACCGUAUGAAUAAGCAUCGGCUAACUCCGUGCCAGCAGCCGCGGUAAUACGGAGGAUGCGAGCGUUAUCCGGAUUUAUUGGGUUUAAAGGGAGCGCAGACGGGAGAUUAAGUCAGUCGUGAAAGUUUGCGGCUCAACCGUAAAAUUGCAGUUGAUACUGGUUUCCUUGAGUGCAGUUGAGGCAGGCGGAAUUCGUGGUGUAGCGGUGAAAUGCUUAGAUAUCACGAAGAACCCCGAUUGCGAAGGCAGCUUGCUAAACUGUAACUGACGUUCAUGCUCGAAAGUGUGGGUAUCAAACAGGAUUAGAUACCCUGGUAGUCCACACGGUAAACGAUGGAUACUCGCUGUUGGCGAUAUACUGUCAGCGGCCAAGCGAAAGCAUUAAGUAUCCCACCUGGGGAGUACGCCGGCAACGGUGCAACUCAAAUGAAUUGACGG
rnacentral:rRNA from 1 species